UCUACGUCCGUGCGACAAUAAUAUUAUAAAAUUGAUUAUAUACAUAACAACACAACAACCCGCUAUGUCAUACUUAAACUAAAUGUCAGACCCUCCGGGUGACAAAGUCCAACUACAUGAAUUAAAAAUGGAGUAAGCAAUAAGGCUAGCUGUAAACUAUACAAGGCUUGUACAUUACUGAUUAAGGAUCCUGUCAAGAACAGAGUAAAUUGUUAUGGAGAAUCAAACAGGACAUAAUCUGGUUUUCUAUGUAAAUGGUGAAAAGAUAACGGAAAGUCAUCCAGACCCAACAUGUACCUUAUUAUACUACCUUAGGAAAAAGUUAACUCUAACUGGUACUAAGUUAGUUUGUGGUGAAGGAGGAUGUGGUGCCUGUACUGUUAUGAUAUCAAAAUAUGAUGAUAAAAACAGCACAAUUCGACAUUUUUCAGUAAAUGCGUGUUUAACACCAGUUUGUGCUGUACAUGGUUUAGCUGUUACAACUACCGAAGGUAUUGGUAGUCUUCGUACACGAUUACAUCCAGUACAGGAACAGAUAGCUAAAAGUCAUGGAUCACAAUGUGGUUUUUGUACACCUGGCAUGGUUAUGUCUAUGUACACUUUGUUAAGGAAUAAUCCACAACCUACGAUGUUACAGAUAGAAAAAUACCUAAAAG